UCAUCAAGACAUUCAUGACCAUAAGGAACUAAAACUUACCGGCGCCUUCAUUCGGAUUAGCUUCUUUGUCCUUGCUAGUUUGGAGAGCAUAGAAACGACCAUAAUUUGGAGGAAUAGGAACCGUUCCAUCUUUAGAAGCUUGCUUUGCCUCCCUUCCUCUAGCCGUAAGAGUAGGACAAUCUUUCACCUUGUGAUCAUUCUU
rnacentral:lncRNA from 1 species